UUCUUACCACAUAGAAUCCUUCCUUCUACAUCCUUCACUACAAGUCACGAGAGCAACAUUUCUGCAAGACAAGCUGAUCACAGUGCUGGCCAAACCUUCUAUCCUGAACACUGUCCUAAAAGACCUAAUGGUCUCAACAGGUGCAGUCAUGGGUCAACAGUGCCCAUCUGGACCAUGGUUCAGAGAGAAAGGAUCUACUGACCACUCCUCCCCUGGCUGAACUCAAUAUUCCCAUGAUGCUGAAUAAAGAAGAGGAGAUGUGUGCUGUA